UUCAAAGUCUUAAAUUCUGGGCUUAGCAAAUCUAGAAAUAUCAUCUGAGACAUAAUACUUAAUCUUUAUGUUGGUUCUUCUUCCCUGGAGUUUUCAGUGAAAGAACUGAAGACAGUGAGUGGCUCACAAGGGACCCAAAGAGACUUCAAGGCCCCAGGUAGGAAAGUGCUACAGAAAUACAAGGAUGUGGGGAAUAGCUGAGGCUGAACCUAAGAAUUAUGCUUCCAAAGUCUGAAGAUAGCAGCUAACUGAGAGAUCCUGAAACUGUUCUCCUUUUCAUAUAGGCUACUGAGUUAUUGGUAUUCCAGAGUAAAACCCAGGAGUGUUACGCUUUAUAGAUCUUCACUAAGCUCUGGAGUGCCACAGAUAAUAACUGUAAAAGCAAUAAUUAAUAAUUGCUAUUAAGAUAUCAUUUACAAAAGCCUGCAAAUAAGUUGCCAUAUGUCAGAGAAGGUCAGGCAGUAGCCCGGAGGCAGACAGUUGUAUCCCAAAGUCACUGAUGAGCCAGGUGAGAGCACCAGGUGCUGAAUAUUGCCAGUGACUGUGCACACCAGGAAACCUGGCCCCUUGCCCUUCUGCAGGGAAGUGUUAACAGAGCAAGUCAGAGCAGAAAAUGGUAGAGAGCAGGGAAACCAGUUCUUCAGGGUGUGUAAUGGGAUAUUUUGAAUUUUUAGUGAAAAAUGUUCACUUUUCUCAGCAUUGGUAGGUGAAGAAAUCAAUAGUGCAUGCAACUGCUGCUGCUAAUGAGGGAUAACUGCUGACUAUGGCUGGCCAUCUUUCCAGGAGAGCAACUCCCAGUGUGUUUUGUUCAUCGCUCAGCUGAGGAGUGGCAUCAGAAAGACCAAAAAGACUGGGAGACUGGACUUGAUUUCUCCUGGGCGGCCCACAGACCCCACUCUAUGCCCCUUCCAUGAGGCCUCCAAGUCUGCAGAUGUCCCUUUGUGUGGACAGCCAGACCAUGGCCCUGCCAGCAAUGCCGACUAUUGCACACACACUGGCUGCUUCCAAGAAACAUCUCAAGAUGUAGGAAGAUGGAGAAUCACGGCCUGCCAGGUAGGCCAGCCUACCUUGUGGACCGGGUUUUCUGGGCCUUUGGCUUUUGAUGGGCUUCUUUGAUGGGCUGUAAAGGGCUUGCUAUUCAGUAAUAACACCCCUGUGAUACCCACUGCCUCAUCUACACUGUUAAUGCUUUGCAAAGCCUGCACAAAUCAAUUUAAUGAACGGGUUAUAUUAACAUUAUAACUGGAAAACAUCAUGGUGCUUAGUCCUCCCCAUGGCUUUGAGCUACCUAUCCCACAUAUGGCUGCUUUUGAUCUGAUGCUGAGGAAUCUGAGAGAUAAGGCUUGGUGUCUGAGGAGGUCUGGAGAGACAAGGGAAAUACAGGCAUCUAAAAAUGUUUUUCCUUGUAAGUAGGAGUAAAUUUGUUUACUGCUUUUCAUAUACAUUAUUUCUGUGAGUGUAGAUAUCAUACGGAGUUAAAGAACCUUCUGAUAUAAUCCAUUUUCUAUGCAAAGUCUGGAUGAAAUAAAAAUCAAAUUCAAAUUUUAACAAAACCAUCAAAUAUACAUGUCAGAUGAAAUCAGAGAUCUGUUUAUGUAGUUGUCUGUAUUGAGUAGCAAUGUCUGUGGAAAUAUUGCCACGCUCCAUUAAUUGGGACAAGAAAAUAAUACCUAUCUGUUUAACACUGCAUGCUGUCAAGACACUCUUCAAACAGUAAUGCAUUUGUCGUCUGCCUUCCCAGAGAUGCACUGAAAAUGCAAUCCAAACUAAAAUGAGAAUUGAAAAGGGAUGAAUUAAACUGCACUACAUGGUAUUACGUGGUUGAUGUUAGAAUUACAGCAUCUUUAAUUUGAUCUGCGUUAGUUCUCCUUAGAAAUGAAGUAAAUUAAAUUAAAGCCACUUUAACUUUUGAAUUCUUAAUGAGAAUACCUACACAAAAGUGUAAAGAAGCUAAACUAACCUACAUUACAAGACUCAUUUUCAUGCAUUUUCUUGAGAGUGCCUCCAAAAAGGACACCCUGAUUCAUAUGUGACGUUUGGGAAAGGUUUUAAAGACUGACACCUAUAGCUCCUUUCUUAUCAUUGAUCAGAAGAUGCUGCCUAGAGUAAACAGAUGUAAAUGUAGGUUCACAUCAUAACUCAUUGUCAUAAGUGAAGUAAAGGACGAAACCAAGCAAAAGUCUACAAACAUCUUUGUUUUUGAAGUAUCAACAUGUGGGACGUCUGUAAAAGAGGUCAUGUCACAGGGGUAUGUGCAGCUUCUGGGCAACAAGAUAAAGAGCUCAGCUUAAAAGUAGGUUUUGUAGAGGGUGACUGUAAGGUAAUUUUGUGAUUAAGCUUAUUCUUGGCUAGCUGAUCCUAGACAUGCCCCAUGCAAGUGAGGGCAAGCUGGAGAACAUGCCAAAGGGGAAUAUUGAAGAACACAUUGUAAAAAAUAAAUAAAUGAAUCUGGAUGCUUGGCUUGAAUUUUCUUUGAGGUAUGGGCUUGUCUUUGACUCUAAUGCAGGUCAAUUGCCCCCAUGUCUGUCUCCCCUGUUUUUCAGAACACCUCCUUAUAUUAUGAAAGUAUUUCUGUUGUAAACUACAGCUACCAAUCCUGUUUGUUUCUAAAGAACUCAUUUAAAUUUUCCUUAACAGUUGUUUAUGAUGAAAUGUAGAAAUCAGGUUGAAACUUGUUACCUUGAAUGUUGAUCAAAUAUUACGUUCAGAUUAGGCACUCACAAUCUCUUUCUCAAUACUAAUAUAUGCUAAAAUUCAGCACAAAAUUAACCUAUAUAUCACAUUAGAAUCUCAUUAUUAAACAUGUCUAGUAAUUAAAACAGAUCAGGGCAUAACUACCGCUUUUUUGGAAUUUUGCUUAUUCUUUGCUUUUUGUACAAAGGCUUCAUGCCAAAAGAUCUGGCAGUGCAAAGCUGUCAUUCUUUAGUGUAUAGGAAGGUGGUGCUAAACUACAAAUGAUGACAGAAGCGGAGGGAGUGUGUAUUCUCUGCAGUUACACACAGACUCACUGAUGUUGAUCUCUGUUCCUUGAAAUCUGGAAAGCCUGUAGGGGGAAUGUUGUAGGGGGCCAAGAGAAAAGUGAAUGGCCUUAGAAAUGGGAAAUAGGUAUUAUUUAUGUUCUCUUAAUAAAGUUCAGUAUUAGGAAAUCUGCUACAUCUGCUAUUUUUGUCACAUCAAUCUCAGAAUUCAGAUCUGCUCUCAGUUUAGUGGCUUUUUUUCCAUG
rnacentral:lncRNA from 1 species